UACGUAGGGUGCGAGCGUUAAUCGGAAUGACUGGGCGUAAAGGGUGCGCAGGCGGUUGGUCAAGACGGAUGUGAAAGCCCCGGGCUUAACCUGGGAGUGUCAUUCGUGACUGACGAACUAGAAUAUGGCAGAGGGAGGCGGAAUUCCACAUGUAGCAGUGAAAUGCGUAGAGAUGUGGAGGAACACCGAUGGCGAAGGCAGCCUUCUGGGCUAAUAUUGACGCUCAGGCACGAAAGCGUGGGGAGCAAACAGG
rnacentral:rRNA from 1 species